UACGGCGGGGGCGAGCGUUAGUCGGAAUGAUUGGGCGUAAAGGGCGCGUAGGCGGCUUGUUAAGUCAAAGGUGAAAUCCCUCGGCUCAACUGAGGAACUGCCUUUGAAACUAGCGAGCUUGAGGCCGGGAGGGGGUAGCGGAAUUCCCAGUGUAGCGGUGAAAUGCGUAGAUACUGGGAGGAACACCAGUGGCGAAGGCGGCUACCUGGACCGGUACUGACGCUGAGGCGCGAAAGCGUGGGUAGCAAACAGG
rnacentral:rRNA from 1 species